rnacentral:lncRNA from 1 species
GGUUAAAAACAGAGUUAAAGGGAAUGGGUCUCGGAAGCCGAGGGUCUGAAGUUCAAGACUCCUAGAAGGGGAGGGGAAUGAAAGCCACUCAGUGAAGAAGGCCAGGGAUCAGAUUUGACCUUCAGCUGCAACAACACCAGAUCCUUAACCCAGGGAAUGAACCCUCAUCCCAGCACUCCCAAUAUACUGCCCCUUUGCUCCACAAUGGGAGCUCCUUAACCCUAUUAUUGAAUAAUAUUUCUUUACAGAGUUAUUAGGUGCUACUCAAUUAAAAUUUUGUUGCACCAGAAUUUUUAUGAAAAUAUGAGCUCUGAUUAUCUUGAACUAGCAGCAGAAACCCUGGAAGUUAUUAAUACAGUGUAUUUGUGCAAGAAUGAUGAAAUUUACUGCACAGAAUGGGUAUGAAAAUGAAGUGAGCCAGCAAAAAUGAAAGUGGACCCUGUAACCUCUGGCACACAUAGUCACUUAUGCCUUUCCUUCUGCUGUCAGAUGGUGGUUGUGAGGUAAAACAAAUACAGUCUAUCUCUGACUUACAAUGGUUCGCCCUAAGAUUUUUGGACUUCAUGAUGGUGUGAAAGCAAUAUGAAUUCAGUAGAAACCGAACUUCAAAUUUUUGAAUUUUCCUCUGUUCCCAAGCUAGGGAUGUACUAUUGGAUACGCUCGGAUACCCUCUUGUAUGCUGGACAGUGGCAGCAAGCAGCUCCCAGUCGGCCAUGCAAUCAGGAGGGUAAACAAUGGACACACUUCCAAUUAUUCCGGACCCAGACGACCAUUCCUCUUUCACCUUCAGUACAGUAUUUGAUGAAUUGCAUGAGAUAUCGAACACUUCAUUAUAAAAUAGGCUUUGUGGGAGUUCCCGUCAUGGCGCAGUGGUUAAUGAAUCCGACUAGGAACCAUGAGGUUGCGGGUUUGGUCCCUGUCCUUGCUCAGUGGGUUGAGGAUCCGGCGUUGUCGUGAGCUGUGGUGUAGGUUGCAGAUGCAGCUCGGAUCCUGCAUUGCUGUGGCUGUGGCAUAGGCCGGUGGCUGCAGCUCUGAUUCGACCCCUGGCCUGGGAACCUCCAUAUGCCGCUGGAUUGGCUCAAGAAAUAGCAAAAAGACAAAAAAAAAAAAAAAAANAAA